rnacentral:rRNA from 1 species
AUUGAACGCUGGCGGCAUGCUUUACACAUGCAAGUCGAACGGCAGCGCGGGCUUCGGCCUGGCGGCGAGUGGCGAACGGGUGAGUAAUUCAUCGGAACGUGCCCAGUAGUGGGGGAUAGCCCGGCGAAAGCCGGAUUAAUACCGCAUACGACCUGAGGGUGAAAGCGGGGGACCGAAAGGCCUCGCGCUCUUGGAGCGGCCGAUGUCGGAUUAGCUAGUUGGUGGGGUAAAGGCUUACCAAGGCGACGAUCCGUAGCUGGUCUGAGAGGACGACCAGCCACACUGGGACUGAGACACGGCCCAGACUCCUACGGGAGGCAGCAGUGGGGAAUUUUGGACAAUGGGGGCAACCCUGAUCCAGCCAUGCCGCGUGCGGGAAGAAGGCCUUCGGGUUGUAAACCGCUUUUGUUCGGGAAGAAAUCCUCUGGGCUAAUACCCCGGGGGGAUGACGGUACCGGAAGAAUAAGCACCGGCUAACUACGUG